CUCCGAUGGGCUUAACAAGGCAAUGAACGGUUUAAACGGGGUUGCAACGGGGAAACGAACGGGAAACUGGAAACGGGCCUGACAAGUACGAAAAAGAAUCCCCGAUUGCUAGAAAUAAGUACAUUAAAACAUAAACGACAUGUUUACGGAACAUAAAAAUCAUCUUAUUACAAUUAACAAUCAUAAUUAAUACCGUUUUAAUACAAUAAUCAUGUAAAAAUCGAUCUACAAUCGCUAUAGUAUUCAUACACUGUUUUGCGGUUGUGGUACAUAAAGUUCACCUGAGGUUACACACAGUCAACCUAAUUUGCAUAAUCAAUACACAAAAAUCACUGUGCCGGAAAUGGCUGCUGAUGUACGAAAGUGAAAGUUAGCUACAUAAGUUAUCACGAUUAUACAUAAAUGUAAAAAUGGUUGAACACUGGGAAAACGGAAUGAUUAGAACACUGAAAGCAUAAUGAAUUGAAUUAGAAAGAUGUGAUGGUUGUAGUGGUCUACAUGUGUACCAGGAUGUUAUCUUCUUCAAUGUUUUUCGCCUUGUGUUGCCAACACUGGAUUUUUUUAAAAUUGCAUCAAAUUGACAAAAUAUUUUAUAACCAUCUAAAUACAACGUAUCAUAACAUAUGUUUUAAUAUAUAGUUAGAUAGAAAGGAUUUAGGGUGUAAAAAAUUUAAAUAAAAUGUUUAGUGCUUUUCAUUAACAAAUGAUAACACAUAGAUUAAAAAACAUGAAAUUUGCAGAAAUUCUAUUUUGAUUAUGACUUCAGGAAUUUUAAGUUAUACUGUGAAUCCUUCUUACAAUUUUUUUGGUUAUUUUGAUAGUCGUUCACAGGACGGCAUUUCAUAUCGUAAUAAGGAAGAUGUCUUAGAAAAACAAAGUUCAAAAUGUUUUUGAAAUGUGCAUCUCUUUUUUCCAUACGUUUACUUACUGUGACUUCAUUAUAAUUGUUUAUCUCCACCUAUUGCAGUUGAUUCAAAAUUCUGACUUAAUUACUUUUUCUUUCAAAUCGAACUGUUCAACUGGUCACAAAUCUUAACCUACUACAAAGUCAAGUCAACAAAGAGAUAAAAUAAAGCAUCCUUACAAUCCUAUGAGACUUUUCUUUAAAUAGUAAUUUUGUAAUUCCAGUCCUAUUUAAGACUUAAAUUCCACUUUUGAGCUGCUAUCAAGUAUGGUUUCUAGUCAUUGGAAGGUGAGGUUGUUAUUUUUUAAUUGAUAUAAAAGUGUCGAAUUUAAUUUUCAUUCUAUUACUUUUACAAAACGUUUCCUAUAUAUUUCUAAAAAAUCAGACAACACAUGCAAUAUUCAGUAAAAUAUAUGUAAAUCUACAGUUUGUUGUAAAUUAAUUGCCAUUAAAGUUAAUCUAAAAUCAUCGAUCCCCCUUUUUGAAAUAUUGAUCUUAUAUUCCCUUAAGUGAUGGAUGCCACAUGUGAAGCCUGGUCUGCUCAUCCUUCCGGAGCACCUGAGAGCACCCCGGUUUUUUGUAGGUUUCGUGUUGCUCAGUCUGCAGUUUUCUAUGUUGUGUUGGGGUUGUCAGUUUAUUUUCGAUUUUUGUUCGAAUGUCCCUUUGGUAUCUUUCGCCUCUCUUUUAAGCUAAAAGUAUAUUUCACCAAUUAUUUCAUAUUCUAAUUUUAAGACAGCUUUGUAGCAUGCAUAGAAAAACAACAUUUUAGGAGAAAUAGUUCAUUGUUAUUCAAAAUAUCAAAUUUGACAUUUUUUUAGCCUUUCAAAAAUUAUUAAUUGACCUUUCAAAUGACUCAUUACAAUACAAAUGUGUUAAACAAAAUUAAGGCAACAUGUUUAUAGUUCUCAUUUUAAGUGUAAAUACAAACAUUAAAGGAUUUUAAGUAUG